rnacentral:rRNA from 1 species
AUUGAACGCUGGCGGCAGGCCUAACACAUGCAAGUCGAGCGAGCGGCGGACGGGUGAGUAAUGUAUGGGGCUCUGCCCGAUAGAGGGGGAUAACUACUGGAAACGGUGGCUAAUACCGCAUACUAUCGGAUGUACCCAUAUGGGAUUAGCUAGUAGGUGGGGUAAAGGCUCACCUAGGCGACGAUCCCUAGCUGGUCUGAGAGGAUGAUCAGCCACACUGGAACGGAGACACGGCCCAGACUACUACGGGAGGCAGCAGUGGGGAAUAUGGGACAAUGGGCGCAAGCCUGAUGCAGCCAUGCCGCGUGUAUGAAGAAGGCCUUAGGGUUGUAAAGUACGUUCAGCGGGGAGGCGUUACCCGCAGAAGAAGCACCGGCUAACUCCGUGCCAGCAGCCGCGGUAAUAC